UGGGGAAUUUUGGACAAUGGACGCAAGUCUGAUCCAGCCAUGCCGCGUGCGGGAAGAAGGCCUUCGGGUUGUAAACCGCUUUUGUCAGGGAAGAAACGAGUUUCUCUAAUACAGAGACUUAAUGACGGUACCUGAAGAAUAAGCACCGGCUAACUACGUGCCAGCAGCCGCGGUAAUACGUAGGGUGCGAGCGUUAAUCGGAAUUACUGGGCGUAAAGCGUGCGCAGGCGGUUAUAUAAGACAGAUGUGAAAUCCCCGGGCUCAACCUGGGACCUGCAUUUGUGACUGCAUAGCUAGAGUACGGUAGAGGGGGAUGCAAUUCCGCGUGUAGCAGUGAAAUGCGUAGAUAUGCGGAGGAACACCGAUGGCGAAGGCAAUCCCCUGGACCUGUACUGACGCUCAUGCACGAAAGCGUGGGGAGCAAACA
rnacentral:rRNA from 1 species